CCACAAACAUAGUGGACACAAGGUUAGACGUGACAUAAAUGUGUCCUAGACAGACCCUUCUUUUCUUAGUGAAACAUCAACUUUCCAAAGACAAUAUUCCAAACUGGACAGUUGAUACAUAGAGCUAUUUUACUUUAACAUUUAAAGUGUGGCUGCAAAUCUGGGAUGCAGGAGGUGAAAAUUCAUUGUCUAAUCUGUUUCUCAGUUUCCUCUUUCAGAAACGAGAGAUUUUUCAAGACCUUGCUCCACUGCUGUGGCACUCCUUUGGCACUGUUGCUGCACUGCUCCAGGAGAUUGUGUCAAUUUACCCUUCACUUUCACCUCCUACUUUGUCGCUAGUUGCAUCAAACCGUGUCUGCAAUGCACUUGCACUUCUUCAGUGUGUUGCUUCACACCCUGAGACCAGGAUCCCGUUCUUGAAUGCUCACAUCCCACUGUACCUGUACCCGUUCCUGAAUACUACCAGCAAGACAAGACCUUUUGAGUACUUGAGGCUUACCAGCUUGGGUGUUAUUGGUGCUCUUGUGAAGGUAAAUUAAAACUAGAUACUUAUGCAAACUAGGAAUGGAUGGUCCAUAUAGAUUUUUGCUUUAAAUGGUGAGAGGGUUGUUGAACCAGAGGGGAAAACAGUGAUGGGGAUUGGCUGUAUUCUUUCUUUUUUUUGUAGACUAUAUCUUGUUCUUUUGGUAUUCUCAUUCCAGUAAUCCAGUCAUUUUAAUCAAAUGGACUGGUUGGGAUUGGAUCCCAGGAAUCUCAACAGGAACUGUUAUUUUUGAAGCAAACAGGCUAA